rnacentral:misc_RNA from 1 species
GUUUUUGUUUUAUCCGUCAGGGGCCAUGGACUUGAAAACAAAUCUGCUUUCCCGAAAACAGAAAACUUCAAAAUAACAGAGAUUCAGUUUAUGAUCGCAGUAAAUGCAACCUGGCAAGGAGAACAGUGUGUAUAUAUUUAUAUUUAUGUUCCUAACCCAAUUUAACUGUGUGUCUCCAUUUCUCGAGCCCUGUCCAACAAGAGUAAUUAAUCGGUAUAACAAAGCAUUGCAACCAUGUUUUAGACGUCUCAUGGAAAGAAUCAUGAUGAUUUUUUGAAAUUGUAGCGAAAAUAAUUACAUAUGGCCAGAAAAGGAAACAUAAAACUCGUCUUAUAGGAUUUAAUGACGUGAUCUUCCUCAUUUAAGUUAAAUUUAUACCAACCUUGAAUGUCUGAUGUUUUUGCGCAAAAACCACAUGAAAAGGAACUUCUCUUAAUGUUUUAACAAAAGGGUCUGCUUGGUAACUUUCCUCGUUUGCUUAUUACGCUAGUUUAUUUACAGCGGCUGUAUAGCUUAUGCAUUUACACCCGCGCUUCCUCCAGGAAACAAAUGGAAUGCCACCCAACCGAUCAAAGUUGGGGGAUGUGACAAAGGGCCUUUUAUUUAUAACGUGAUUCCUCCGACUGAUGGGAAAAGCAAAGUGAGCGUCAAUGUGACGUUUUUUUCGUCCGAUGUGAUUGACGCUGAACCCCCAAGUUGUCAGAUCCCGUUUAAUGGCACGUUCCUGCUCCCUUCUCCUGACGGUUAUGACGACGAACUUCUUCCAAACUGUUUUGUACAGGAUUCUCGGGAAGGUGACCAUCUGACCUACUUCUGGUUCAAAAUUUUUGAUUGGAAAAUACAAGAAUGAAAUAAUGGC